GAAGCGAGGCAGCUGAUUGGAUGGAGCCGUUGGACCUGGACGACGGCGACGACAGACGUCCAGUCAGGCGGUUCGUGAAGAAACUUCAGGUUAAAUAUCAGGGCGAAGCUGCAGACUCCGCCCCCAACGGGAAACGCCGCGGAGGGAGGCGGGGCCACAGGAGGAAGUCACUACACAAACACAACAACAAUGACAACAACAGCAACGACAACAACGACAACAACGACAACAGCCUCCUCAGCCAAUCAGACUUCACAGACCACAACUACACCAAGACUCUGCUGCUCCAGGACGGCGACGCCUUCGCCGCCGCGCCGCCAGCCGGCAGCCAAUCAGAGGAGGCCAAGCCUGUGGUGAGCUCAGAUCAGGUUUCCUCCAGUCCCUGCUACCGCUAUGAGCCCAACCCUGCUGAGGCCUGCUCCUCCUUCUGCUCAGCCGACACACAGAAACCUACCAGCAUCGUGUUCAGGAAGGUGGGGGAUGACAGCUGGGUGCUGGGGAGGUCAGAGGUCAAACAGGAAGAAGGAGGCAGCGUCAUGGACACCAGGCAGGUCAGUCACAGAAAUAUACCAGGACUGUGACGAUCUGUUUAUCUACUGAUUUAUUUAUUGCGGUAUUGUUUUUU
rnacentral:lncRNA from 1 species